UAUCUAGGUCAGCACAAAGGUGUAGCGGGAGGACAGCUAGCUUCUGUCCUCCUCUGGAUCCAUUGACUUCAAUACAAAUCCUAGGAGGCUCAUAGACCUCACCCCCUUCCAUAGACCUACAUGGUAAUUAUGGCCAAUUCUGGAAGACCUCCUCCAAAAAAUCUAAGCUUUUUCAGUAUGAACUGACAUGUUGUCCAUCCAAUCAUACGAUUAGGAUCAGAGAAGGAACCUAGUGCGAUGUAUUGAGGUUGUGCUGUAGAGCAUUAUUGGGGGGGAUCUAUGUGUUGAGAAGCUUGGUGAAAUUAUUGGAUAGAGAUUGAAAAUAUUUAUUUGAGCAUUUUUUAAAUUAUUCAAUUCAAAUUAGAUUAUUCAAAUUACAGGAGAUGGAGGAGGUUAAUUAUACAUUGUUUUCUUGGUUUUAUAACUUUUUGUAUCCAGUUAGUGCAGAUUAUUUCAAUUUUCCAUGAUAACAAGCUAGCUACCAGUUCGAGUGUGCACCUUUCGCCGGCAACGCUACCUCAAAUUGUUUUUACUUUUUGUUGAACCCUUUUCAUUCUCUGGGGCACACGGAAAAGGUGCGAAUUAAAACCGAGGUCGACUGCCUGAGAUCAGUUUCAUGAAGAAAGAUGAAAAGUUCUAUCUAUGUCUCUUCCUGUUCCCUGAUUGAAGAAGUGACCACUCCACUCCACUGCGAUUGUCAACUCUCUCCUGACAUGAACUGAAGCCACGUCUCAUGUUCCCACUCAUCCACUGUUACAUUUAAUGAUUCUUCUCCAACCACUUCAAAUCCUGUCCUGCACAGAAGUCAAGUCACUGAAAACCUCAAUUCAUGCCUUAUACCCUCAUUCAAUCACUGCUGUGAUCCCUUCCCAAAACGGUGUAUGUAGCCCUCUCAUUCUCAUUCCCCAUAAUAUUGUACAAUAAAUGUCUUUACUAAAUUCUUUAGGUUAAAACAAUUACUCUGGCGAUUUUUGAAACACGCUUUGACGUCUCCGUGUGUCUACAACGUGGGUUUCCUCAGUUUUUCAAGUCUCCAGCCUCCACUGAUCACAGUGCUAGCUGUGCCACUAGAGAUCCUUGUUCGAGUCCAGGCUCAGUCGAAAAAGGAAUAAGAAAAUACAAUAGUUUCCAGAGGGGUGGGGUUGAUUCUCCUCCACAAAUCAAACAGAGAAAGGCAUCUAGAAUUAGCAUGCCAACAAGACUACAUUUUGUUGGUUCCAGGUAGGACUGUAUCAUAGCC
rnacentral:lncRNA from 1 species